AUACUUUUCUCGGCCUUUUGACUAAGAUCAAAUGUAGUAUCUGUUCUUAUCAGUUAAAUAUCUGAUAUAUGAGUAAUUGGCUCACAUGAUAUUAACUCAAUUUUUUGAUGGGAAGGUCCGUAAGAGUAGCUUGCUAGUCGGGCCUUCAUGUGUUGCCUAGGUGAUGCACUACAGCCCAGGCCUAGCGCACCCCAC
rfam:Capsicum annuum cultivar Zunla-1 chromosome 10, whole genome shotgun sequence